UUUUUUUUCCUCUCUGUACUGCACCACUCUGCGCUGCCCCUGUCCUUCCACACAGCCAGGGAGAGAUCACGAGGCAAAAUGCAGACAUGGGAGAGGAAGAGAGGGAGGGAGGAUGGAGAAGURGAGGGGUUAGAGAAGAAGAAGAAGGGGGGGAAAGAAAACUGGCAGGCUCCUUCUUUGUCUGCAGGCGAUCAGUUACAGUCUUGGUUGCUGAUGAAAUUUAAUCCCCACCGCAUUUACAUGCCAAGUUUGACUUCUGGCAAGUCUUAUUAAAUAGAUUUGUAAAUCAUUUCAUCUUGAUUAGAAUCUGUUCUCGUGGGAUCAACAUUUUUUUUUCCUUGUUGUUGUUGUKGUUGUUUUCAUUUGCUUGUCUUUUUGUUACGUCUAUCUCUACCGGUGCUAAAAACGCAAAAAGUCAGUCCUCACUUCAUUUUCUCCCUCCGGUGAGUGUAAGCAGUAGGUUUUAAGGGGACAAAGAGCAACGGGAGCCAAAUCCCGUCUGUCACCGGCCAAGCYCACUGUGUCAGCAUGUCUCUCAUCUCCAGAGGUCAUGUCGGCAGCCGGGCGACUGCUCUGAUGUGCCUUCCUCUUAUUAGGCUGACACCACACACUCUUUUGCAUGGAACAAUGUCAUUUCAAAUUGCGCCUAAUCAGAUGGGAUUUUGUAAUUGCCAACAAACAUCUUAUGAAUAUGAAUUCAUUAUUGUUCAAUUACAAGUCGACUGGAUCAUAUUCGUCGGCUUAUUUUUUUUUUCAACCCCCCUCCCCCCUCCUCCUCCCGAUGGCCUGGGCCAAUUAUAGGAUUUCAAUCUUGAGGCAAUCAAGUGAUAAGGGGGAGGUGUUUAGUGUUUGCUGUCACUAUAUAAUUCUCUCCAAUGUUAAACAUGCAUCUGGGAGGGCUGCAUUUGUCAGAAGGCUGUGCUUGGAGGUGCACCUGCCUAAUUGAGUGGUAAUGAGCUGUCAGGAGUGUGGGCUCGGUGAUUGGCUGCUGGCAGGGAGUCCCGUGCCAGUGGGGAUGUAUAGGCUGKCCCGGCCCUGCUGGAGAACCAGCCAGCUUUACGGCCCUGCAGGCCUGAGUGGGCGGAGAGUGGUGAGUUGGGGUGGAGAGGCCAGUGACGCCGGCUGUGGAGACAUCCUGUGGCUCUCACUCAACCGUGGGAUUUAUUUAGGUUGUUUAUGAUUAUCCUUUCUCCAGAUUUAGUCUCACUUCUUCUUGUCAGAGACGUGUAAUCGGGGUUGUGUGUGUGCGUGCGUGUGUGUGUUUUAGUUGUGUAAAAGUAUAAUGUAUAUAUAAAAAAGCUAACUAUUUCUUUUUAUCUCUGUUUUUUUUUUUUUUUUUUUUUACACAAAAGGCAAUUUUCUCUUUAACUGUGGCAAAGCCAGGAUCUGCAAUCAAGAUUCACACACUGAGGCCUGGUUCAGAGUCGGCUCUUGUAAGACUGUAGUUCUCUACUGGAAGAAGGAUGAAGCAGGAAAUGGAU